rnacentral:rRNA from 1 species
AGAGCGAACGCUGGCGGCAGGCCUAACACAUGCAAGUCGAGCGCCCGUAGCAAUACGGGAGCGGCAGACGGGAUAGUAACACGUGGGAACGCGCCCUUCGGUUCGGAAUAACUCAGGGAAACUUGAGCUAAUACCGGAUACGCCCUUACGGGAAAGAUUUAUUGCCGAAGGAACGGCCCGCGUCCGAUUAGCUAGUUGGUGAGGUAAUGGCUCACCAAGGCGACGAUCGGUAGCUGGUCUGAGAGGAUGACCAGCAUCACUGGGACUGAGACACGGCCCAAACUCCUACGGGAGGCAGCAGUGGGGAAUAUUGGACAAUGGGGGCAACCCUGAUCCAGCAAUGCCGCGUGGGUGAAGAAGGUCUUCGGAUUGUAAAAGCCCUUUUGGCAGGGACGAUGAUGACGGUACCUGCAGAAUAAGCCCCGGCUAACUUCGUGCCAGCAGCCGC